rnacentral:rRNA from 1 species
AAGGAGUUUUCGGACAACGGAUAUAGAGGACAGUGGCGGACGGGUGAGUAACGCGUGAGGAACCUGCCUUUCAGAGGGGGACAACAGUUGGAAACGACUGCUAAUACCGCAUGACACAUUGGGGUCGCAUGGCCCCGAUGUCAAAGAUUUAUCGCUUCAAGAUGGCCUCGCGUCUGAUUAGCUAGUUGGCGGGGUAACGGCCCACCAAGGCGACGAUCAGUAGCCGGACUGAGAGGUUGAACGGCCACAUUGGGACUGAGACACGGCCCAAACUCC